UACAGAGGUCUCAAGCGUUGUUCGGAUUCAUUGGGCGUAAAGGGUGCGUAGGCGGCGCGGUAAGUCGGGUGUGAAAUCUUGGAGCUUAACUCCGAAACUGCAUUCGAUACUGCCGUGCUUGAGGACUGGAGAGGAGACUGGAAUUUACGGUGUAGCGGUGAAAUGCGUAGAUAUCGGGAGGAACACCGGUGGCGAAGGCGGUUCUCUGGACAUUUCCUGACGCUGAGGCACGAAAGCCAGGGGAGCAAACGGG
rnacentral:rRNA from 1 species